CUAAACAAAAUUAUUACUAAAAUGGAACAAAAGAUCCCUAACAUAGAGCAAUACAGGCAAAGAUAGUCAAUUGUCAUACACACAAAAUUAGUCCUCAUCCAUCCCUGCAUGCUGAUCUCUCUUACUAGGGCCACCUGCUGGUUUUGCCAUUAUAAUCUGCAAGAUAGUCAAAGCACUGUCAACAACCUUUUUUUAAUGAAGGUAUUAAACAUUAAAUAGGCUGCAAUCAGAUGGAUUCAUCAUUUCUCACACAUUUUUAGCUAGCCAGAAAACCACCAGCAUAUAGAUUUUCUAUUUACUAUCAAGCCUUCUGCACUGAAGCCAUAUUCAUUAUAAAAGUUCAACAUUUCCCAAAAGUAACUUUCAAUUUUAUUUUAUUUUUCCAAGUUAAAAACUAACAUUUGCGACCGUUCUUUUGAGUUAUAAAGGAGUUUGUGUUCUGAGUACACACGUGCAUACAUGCAUUUGUGCCAAGUUAGGGGAACUUUGAAAAAAAAAGAGAGAAAAAGACUUCACAAAAAGUAUAAAAGUAUAAAAUUAAAUAAAUAAAUAAAAAGAAUAGUCAACUAAUUCAUAAAGCCUCGACUUUUUAUUAUUAUUAUUUUUUAAACUAUAUGUAGUUUAGCAUUUUUUCUGCUUUGGCCUCAAAGAUGCAAUCAGGGAUUCAAAGAUGUAGUUCAUACCAAAUUUGGUUCGUCAGGUUUAAGUAGAAGACCUGGAUCUGAAACUCUUACACUAGGCAGCACUUUACCCUGAGAAUGAUUUAUAUUCACUUCGUACCUUGUCAGGGUUGCUUGCCUGCAUGCAAUAUAACCCCAAAUAUCAAAUGUAGUUAUAAAGCAGAGAUACAAAUUAUAUAAAACAGGUCACUAUUGAAUGACAUCAUUCAAGACAUCAGUGAAGCCUUACGUGUAAAGUUUUCCGCCUUAUGCGUGCCUACAGUUAGAACAAGCAAGCCAGGAGCAUAUGACAAAAC
rnacentral:lncRNA from 1 species